GCCAGGGCUGAGGGCUGUGCCAAGCCAGGCUUUGGCCUGGGGGCUGUCAGGGAGGGCGCAGGGAGGAGUCCCAGCAGGGAUAAAGGUGCUGCUGCCCUGCUGCAGCCUCAGCCAGCACUGCCCAGAGUGAGAGGAAGAUGAAGGUGGCUGUGCUCAGCGUGGCCCUGCUGUUCUCCAUCCUGCUGUGCCUUCCGGCACAGAACGAGGCGCUGCUGGAAGGAACCCAGGAUGAUCUGCGGGAGAUUGAUUUAGACAAUGUCGCCAUCCUGGAGACGCCUCUGCCCCCAGUUGUUGAAAGGCUGGAGGCUGUUCUGCGACAGAAGCGCCUGGCUGCCUCUCUGGGUGCCUAGGUGAGCUGUGCCUGCAGGGAGAGGGGU